GAGAAAAUAAUUCACAGAAAGAGCUAGAGUGUCGAGGUAGAGGUAGCAAUUUUAAAUGGAGUUGUUAGGGAAAUCCUCACUGAGAAGGUAACAUUUGGUGAAAAAAAAAAAAAAAAGUGGCGAGCAAGGGAACCAUCCAGAUAGGGGGCUUGUAGGUGGUGGGAGAUACGUGGGAUGAAUUGGGACACUUUGAGUUGCAUGUUUGAGAAGUAAUAUGAAGGCAGAGAGCGGAUAGGAGCUGCGGAACAGAUGGACCAAAUGGACGGGCAAGAUGCCGCAAACACAGGCAGGGGCGGGGGCAGACUGAGGGUGAAGUGAGUAGCACCGCAGAUCGGGCGUGAAGCCGCACUGGCUGGAAGGUGCCACUGUUAGCAGAGGAGCGGGGGCUGCUCGUGGGACUCCAGAGCCCAUCUUGUCUUUCAUGCCCACAGAUGGAGAUGGGUGUCGUGAGCUGGUGGUGGGCUACACAGACCGUGUGGUGCGAGCUUUCCGCUGGGAGGAGCUAGGUGAGGGUCCUGAACAUCUGACAGGGCAGUUGGUGUCCCUCAAGAAAUGGAUGCUGGAGGGUCAGGUGGACAGCCUCUCAGUGACUCUGGGGCCACUGGGUCUUCCUGAACUGAUGGUGUCUCAGCCAGGCUGUGCGUAUGCAAUUCUACUGUGUACCUGGAAAAAGGACACUGGAUCCCCUCCUGCCUCUGAAGGGCCCACGGAUGGCAGUAGGGAGACCCCAGCUGCCCGAGACGUGGUGCUGCACCAGACAUCUGGCCGUAUCCACAACAAGAAUGUCUCCACUCACCUAAUUGGCAACAUCAAACAAGGCCACGGCACUGAGAGUAGUGGCUCUGGCCUCUUUGCCCUGUGCACCCUGGAUGGGACACUGAAGCUCAUGGAAGAAAUGGAAGAAGCAGACAAGCUGCUGUGGUCAGUGCAGGUGGAUCACCAGCUCUUUGCCCUGGAGAAAUUGGAUGUCACCGGCAACGGGCAUGAGGAGGUAGUUGCUUGCGCCUGGGAUGGACAGACAUAUAUCAUUGAUCACAACCGCACCGUCGUCCGCUUCCAAGUGGAUGAAAAUAUCCGUGCCUUCUGUGCAG
rnacentral:sRNA from 1 species